UUGAAUACAGUUUAUUUUGUAUAUUGAUACAUAAUGCACAAAUAUAUACUGCUCUCAAAACAGAAAUCACUUCAUUAACAUUUCUAUAAUUCUGUCAGGUAGCAAUACUGUGAAGGCUAAACGAUUCUUUAAGGCAGCAAUACUGUGAAGGCUAAACGAUUCUUUAAGGUAGCAAUACUGUGAAGGCUAAACGAUUCUUUAAGGCAGCAAUACUGUGAAGGCUAAACGAUUCUUUAAGGCAGCAAUACUGUGAAGGCUAAACGAUUCUUUAAGGCAGCAAUACAGUGAAGGCUAAACGAUUCUUUAAGGCAGCAAUACAGUGAAGGCUAAACGAUUCUUUAAGGUAGCAAUACUGUGAAGGCUAAACGAUUCUUUAAGGUAGCAAUACUGUGAAGGCUAAACGAUUCUUUAAGGCAGCAAUACUGUGAAGGCUAAACGAUUCUUUAAGGCAGCAAUACUGUGAAGGCUAAACGAUUCUUUAAGGCAGCAAUACUGUGAAGGCUAAACGAUUCUUUAAGGCAGCAAUACUGUGAAGGCUAAACAAUUAAC